rnacentral:rRNA from 1 species
AUGAACACGGACUCGGAGACCAUCAAGACCGCGUGCAAAGAUAUUUUGCAGAAAUAUUCAAAGAACAGACGCCAUCAGAUCAAGAAGAAGUAUUUUGACACCGUAGCCGCAAACAAAGUCAGCAUCAAGUCUUCGGUGCCAGAUCUGACGGACGGUGAAUGGCAAGCUCUGGUGGAGAUGUGGUCUACCCCAAGACACAAGGAAACCUGUGUGUCGAACAAGAUUAAUCGAGAAAAAGUUGUGUACAAUCAGAGAACUAGUUCCAGGCACUACACAACACACAUUUUUGCCACUGUAAAGAAGAGCGUAAGGGUGAGGAGCUAUCUGCGAUAG